rnacentral:snRNA from 1 species
AUACUUACCUGGCAGGGGAGACACCAUGAUCAGGCAGGUGGUUUUCCCAGGGCGAGGCUCAUCCCCUGCACUCCGGGUGUGCUGACCCCUGCGAUUUCCCCAAAUGCGGGAAACUCGACUGCAUAAUUUGUGGUAGUGGGGGAAGCCGUGAAGCCCCGG